UUAAAGAUUUAUUUAAUUUUUUUUUUACAUGUUAAUUUUUGUGUGGAUUUUAAUUAUAAUUUUAAAAAUUUAUUUAGUAUAUUUUAUUCGCAGUAUUUGAUUUUAAUAAUUUAAGAAAUUAAGAAUUAGGAAUUAAUUUUAGUAUCAACAAAUUUUGUGCCAGCAGUUGCGGUUAUACAAAAGAUAUAAAUAAAUUUUAUUAGUAAGUAAUUAUAUGUUAUUAUAGUUAGAUUAAAAUUAUAAUUAUUAGGUGAAAUUUUAAUUAUAAAUUUAAUUUAAAAUUAAUAUUUUAAUAUUAUGAAAUUUUUAUUUAAACUAGGAUUAGAUACCCUAUUAUUUAAAAUGUAAAAAGGUUUACUUAAGUAGUAAUAGUUAUGUUCUUUAAAUUUAAAGAUUUUGGCGGUAUUUUAGUCUAUUUAGAGGAACCUGUUCUAUAAUUGAUAGUCCACGAUAAACUUUACUUAUUUUAGAAAUUUGUAUACCGUCGUUAUUAGAAAAUUUUAUAAGAAAAUAAAUUUUUAAUAUUUUAAAUUAAAAAAUAUAUCAGAUCAAGGUGCAGUUUAUAUCUAAGAAGAAAUGGGUUACAAUAAAUUUAUUUAUAUGGAUUAAAAAUUUAAUAGUUUUUAUGAAGGUGGAUUUAAAAGUAAUUAAAUUUAAUUUAAUUUAAUGAUUUUAGCUCUAAAAUAUGUACAUAUCGCCCGUCGCUCUUAUUAUAAGAUAAGAUAAGUCGUAACAUAGUAGAUGUACUGGAAAGUGUAUCUAGAAUGAA
rnacentral:ncRNA from 1 species